UCCUGGUUAGCUCAGUUGUACUUGGUAGAGCGCUCCACUGGAAAUGAAGUGGUCCAUGGUUCGAUACCAGGACCAGGCG
rfam:Ixodes scapularis strain Wikel colony gcontig_1108379626308, whole genome shotgun sequence.